rnacentral:rRNA from 1 species
UACGUAGGGUGCGAGCGUUGUCCGGAAUUAUUGGGCGUAAAGGGCUCGUAGGCGGUUUGUCGCGUCGGGAGUGAAAACCCAGGGCUUAACUCUGGGCUUGCUUUCGAUACGGGCAGACUAGAGGUAUGCAGGGGAGAACGGAAUUCCUGGUGUAGCGGUGAAAUGCGCAGAUAUCAGGAAGAACACCCGUGGCGAAGGCGGCUCUCUGGGACGGUACUGACGCUGAGACGCGAAAGCGUGGGGAGCGAACAGG